UGAGGUAGUAGAUUGAAUAGUUGUGGGGUUGUGCACCCCAAUCUGAGAUAACUAUACAAUCUACUGUCUUUCC
ensembl:miRNA gmo-let-7e-1 gmo-let-7e-1